rnacentral:rRNA from 1 species
AGUCCACAUCGACGGGGAGGUUUGGCACCUCGAUGUCGGCUCAUCACAUCCUGGGGCUGUAGUAGGUCCCAAGGGUUGGGCUGUUCGCCCAUUAAAGUGGUACGCGAGCUGGGUUCAGAACGUCGUGAGACAGUUCGGUCCCUAUCCGUCGCAGGCGUAGGAAAUUUGAGAAGACCUGUCCUUAGUACGAGAGGACCGGGAUGGACGUACCUCUGGUGUACCAGUUGUUCUGCCAAGGGCAUGGCUGGGUAGCUAUGUACGGAAUGGAUAAGCGCUGAAAGCAUCUAAGCGCGAAGCCAACUUCAAGAUAAGAUUUCCCACCGCAAGGGUAAGACCCCAGAAAGACUAACUGGUUGAUAGGUCGAAGGUGUAAGUGCAGCAAUGUAUUUAGCUUAUCGAUACUAAUAGGUCGAGGACUUGACCAAU